rnacentral:lncRNA from 1 species
UCCUUCUCUAUCCUCAGGACUCCAAGUGGCGAGCCUCCCAAGUCCGGGCCUGCCUCGUGGCCGGCCCUGCUCACCCAGGCCCACAGCGGAAUAGCUGGAGACAGGCAGUCAGAUGUGAAGUGGCAAAGAUCGGCCUCCCGUGAUUGUGCCACAGAUGCCCAUGGUUCCAGGCGUGGGCACCUGAGCAGUGUGGGAAAGAGAGGUCGAGGGAUUGAAAGUGUGGGCCCCGUAGGGACAGUUUCAGCCCAGGUGCACAGAUCGGACACAACUUUGCCCUCCCUGCAGCCUGGCAGGCCCACCGCAAAAAUGCCAUGAGCAGAUUUAUAAGAGCCAUAGACUUGUAAGUGGAGGUGAAUAGGAAGGAAGGUUUUCUCAACCUGCUCGCUGCUCCUAUGAGAUGCCUGUGGAGUUCUGAGUCUGUGUGGCUAAAACCAUGAAGUUCUGAUUACCGGAACAGUGCUGGCUUGAUGGAAGAUCUGUCUGGAGAGGUCCUGACUCUGCCCAGCAGUUUAGUACCCAGUUAUACAGCCUGGUGAGUGCUAUCAGACCUGCCUAUUGUAUUAUUGGCUUUGCGAGUUUUCAUUCCAGUGUAAUGAACUUUUUGUCUCUGUGUGCCCAGCAUGGUGCUGUUCGUGGUCCAACGCAAGUGAUGGCGUUUAAGUAGGCAAUAAGCUAGUUAUUAUAUGGUGCCUGCGAGAUGGCUCAGUGGAUGUUGGUGCUUUUGAAAGUCUUUAGACCUGGGUUUUAU